GUGCAACCUCAUUCCUGCUUCAAGGAAACUAUAACUCUUUCAUAAUUAACAACAGCACAAAGAUUGUUCAAUAAAUAUAGAAAUGGAAAUCCUCAUUAUAAAACUACAGAAUGGUUUGAAAAAGCUUUAUUCCUGCCCAGGAAUCAUAAAUAGGAAGUUGAAAAAUCUCGCCAUACGCUACAAGCAGUUGAGUAACUUGCAAACCACGCACCUCAAUCACCCUGCUGUGUGAAUUAAACGAACUUACAAGUACAACAAACUUAGGCUGUUUUCCACCUAUUUUUUUGUGGGUUUCGGCCAUUUCUAGCAAAAGAUUCUUUGCUCUUCUUGCAUGUCAUCCCUACGGAUGAUUUUGCCUUGGUGAAGUCAGACCGUUGGCAAACACGUUUGAAUAGGACCUGGUAAGGUAUGCAAAGUUGGAAACCGGAGGUAGAGCAGGGAUCCUUUCCCCCUUGCUCAAAACCUCUUGCAAAUCGAGCCUCUGCAAGGCCAACACAGACCUGGACUCCUUCCAUAUAAAAGCAAGCAUUUUAUCAUGGAUUACAAAGAGUGAACCAGGUUUUGAACCAGGAUAUCGGAAACCAUACCCGUU
rnacentral:misc_RNA from 1 species